rnacentral:rRNA from 1 species
AAUAGAUACCCUGGUAGUCCACGCCGUAAACGAUGAGUGCUAAGUGUUAGAGGGUUUCCGCCCUUUAGUGCUGAAGUUAACGCAUUAAGCACUCCGCCUGGGGAGUACGGCCGCAAGGCUGAAACUCAAAGGAAUUGACGGGGGCCCGCACAAGCGGUGGAGCAUGUGGUUUAAUUCGAAGCAACGCGAAGAACCUUACCAGGUCUUGACAUCCUCUGACAACCCUAGAGAUAGGGCUUCUCCUUCGGGAGCAGAGUGACAGGUGGUGCAUGGUUGUCGUCAGCUCGUGUCGUGAGAUGUUGGGUUAAGUCCCGCAACGAGCGCAACCCUUGAUCUUAGUUGCCAUCAUUCAGUUGGGCACUCUAAGGUGACUGCCGGUGACAGACCGGGAGGAAGGUGGGGGAUGACGUCAAAUCAUCAUGCCCCUUAUGACCUGGGCUACACACGUGCUACAAUGGACGGUACAAAGAGCUGCAAGACCGCGAGGUGAAGCUAAUCUCAUAAAACCGUUCUCAGUUCGGAUUGU